AGCUCAUCCUGUUUCAGUUUCCUCAGAAAUCCCUGCUGGAUAAUAUUCGGAUGAGCAUUAUCUGCAGACAGAAGCUCAGAAUUCACCCAAAGGAAACACUUGACGACCUUUGUGCCGGAGGAAGUUCCUGCAACUGCUCAUUAAUUGUUGCUAAGGGGCCGACGUUUGAGAAAAACAACCAGAGCUCUCAGUUCCAGUUGCUCAAAGGAGGGAAAACAAGGUGGCGUUGGAUUGCGGCAGGUCUUCACUUUCCUAAUCCGAUCCUCCAAGUAAGGCCAUCCUUCCUUCAGCCUUCCAUUUCCUCCCAUCACCUCCAGAUUUCAUUUCCAUCACUGACUCAUUUCCGAAUAGCUGCUGCCAGCUGUCUUCUCAUUUGUGUGGUGGAGCACUUUUUAAGUUGUGAUAUCUUUGAUGAUAUG